UACGUAGGGUGCAAGCGUUGUCCGGAUUUAUUGGGUUUAAAGGGUGCGUAGGCGGCCUGUUAAGUCAGUGGUGAAAUCCAACAGCUCAACUGUUGAUGUGCCAAUGAUACUGACAGGCUUGAGUACAGACGAGGUAGGCGGAAUUGACAGUGUAGCGGUGAAAUGCAUAGAUAUUGUCAAGAACACCGAUAGCGAAGGCGGCUACCUGGCUUGGUACUGACGCUCAGGUGCGAAAGCGUGGGGAGCAAACAGG
rnacentral:rRNA from 1 species